CAAAGUUAAACAGAGGCACCUCCCACCCCUGAGAACUUUGGCCCCAGCCCUGAGAUCAGCUCAGUCAGAAGACGACCGAGGGAAAGGGCACAGGAAAGCAGCUGGGUCAUGAGGUUGGGGCCAACACGACAGCGGACAUAGCCUGCUCCUGCCUUGUGAGCUGGGUGAGCGGAAGCCAGUCACUGAGAACGAACAUGAAUGGCACAGCAAGUGGUCAGUAGUGCGUUUUAACAGGCACUGUCGCGGAACGCCGGCGAGGAUAUGCAGUUCGGGGAAAGACAGGAAAGGCGAGGAACGGAAAGAAACCUCCGCAUAUCUCGAUCCCUCGGUGAUAAGGAAAAGCCCUGGCUGUAAAUGUCUGUAAAUAGAUCACGGGUGACGCGGACCGGCAAUACUAUUCUCCGGAGCCCUCUGCGACAGGCUCCUGCUGCAAGACCUGCCGGGAGUUGUAGUCCGUUGGGUCAAGACCACUCAUGGGAACGCGUGGGGCUGGAAGGGGCGGGGUGUGUGUGGCGGGACGCGCUCCCGGCGUGGCGGAGCUCAAAAGAGCAGAAAUAAAUGCAACGAUGCCUUCUUC